rnacentral:rRNA from 1 species
GACGAACGCUGGCGGCGUGGAUUAGGCAUGCAAGUCGAACGGUAUCAUCCUUUCGGGGGUGAGAGAGUGGCGAACUGGUGAGUAACACGUAGGUUAUCUACCCUCAAGACGGGGACAACCCAGGGAAACUUGGGCUAAUACCGGAUGUGAGCAACUUUUAGUUGUUUGAAAGGUGGCGUAAGCUGUCGCUUGGGGAUGAGCCUGCGUCCUAUUAGUUAGUUGGUGAGGUAACGGCUCACCUAGGCAAUGAUAGGUAGGCGGCCUUAACGGGUGGUCGCCCACACUGGGAUUGAGAUACGGCCCAGACUCCUACGGGAGCAGCAGUCGAGAAUAGUCUACAAUGGUCGGAAGACUGAUAGUGCGACGCCGCGUGAACGAUGAAUCCCUUCGGGGUGUAAAGUUCUUUUAUAUGUGAGCAGUGCUUCUUAUAUUAACAGUAUGGGGAAGAGAUAUUAGCAUAUGAAUAAGCAACGGCUAACUCCGUGCCAGCAGCCGCGGUAAAG